rnacentral:lncRNA from 1 species
AAUUUGUCUAAAAAUUUCAGGGCAGAUAGAUCUUGACCUAAUAGACAAUUUACCUUUGUCAGAUUUGUCAGGUUAUAAGCCAAAAUCUACAUUUUACCCCUAUGUUCUAUUUUUAGCCAUGGUGGCCAUCAUCUUGGUUGGCCAAGAUUAUUUGGCCCAGUUGUUUCAGAGGAGAAGAUUUUUGUUAAAUUUUACAGACGCCGGACACCAAGUGAUGCGAAUAAAAAUAAACUGCUUUUUUUUGCUGUAUAUUUAUCUAAUUUAAAAAAAAAAUUUCAUCAGUGACUUUUCAUAAAAAUUGGUACAAAUAAUCUUCAUACUGAAUCAAACCUAAUGUCAUUUAAAAAAAGAGGGGUCCAUGAACUCAUUUUAAAGUGAAUUCAGUCUAAAAUAAAAAAAAAAUAAAAUAAAAAUGCAUCUUUCCCGAUAUGUCAAAGUUUGACGUCGCCAAAAAUAACAUUUUACCUUAGCAACAUCAUUACCUCCCCUGUAACUGUAUCAUAUGCCCUUAAUCAAAGUCUAAACUCUGAAAAUUAGAAACUCAAUUGAGCCUAUUUUGCUCACCUGGCUACAAACUACCAGUUUUGUAUUCUCAGUGAAGAAUUAAAAAAAAAAAACUGACCAGUUGGUCCUUUUUAUUUAAGUUAGAUUUCCUAUGGGCUCAAAGGGAACCUAUGUGCUGAUAUAGCUACCAUGUAUG